AAGUCGUAACAAGGUUUCCGUAGGUGAACCUGCGGAAGGAUCAUUCAAGGAUUUCAUAUAAAAUAUGAAAAGGAUGUAAAGGGAAAGCAAAAAGGACCUUUUUGCUAACCUGAAACCCUUUUUAUACUUUUACACCUAACAAACACUUUUGUGUUGGCGUGCGCACAGGAUUAGUACAGGUGUUUUUACCACCUUUACAAUCCCACCACCCGCUACACAACAAUAACACUUGGCUGAUAAAACAGCAGUAUUGACUUGUCAGUACCGUUUGAUACUAAUACAAUACAACUUUCAACAAUGGAUCUCUUGGCUCUCA
rnacentral:misc_RNA from 1 species